AAAGAAGACAGAACGAGGCGAAUGGGAGGGAGACGGAGAGUCGGGAGGGAAAGUGGCAGCUCUCCUUUCAGUCCGAUCCGCCAGACGGGUGGGGAAGAGAGGACUAGUGGUCCCUCCCAUCUGCCCUUUUCACUCUUGACAGUGGCUUGGCAGACCACCUGUAAAAAAAAAAAAAAAACCGAAGAAGGAGGAAAGUCAUGAGUCAAGAGACCGGAGGCGACUCAAGUGAGCGAGCCAAGGUUCACCUGUGGUAGAGCAAUCUCACAGUACACUUUUAUUUUUUUCAUGAAAAUGAAAAAGGAGAGGGGAGACAAAAGAAACCUCUCCAGUAUUAAACCUUUCCCCCUCCUAUACACACAUAGAUGUCCUUAUCUAUAAAGUGUCUUUUAAGAUCUAUCUUCCCUGUCGCUUUUGGUGCAUUAUUGGUUUGGCUGAGUGGGGAGGACAGGGGG